UGCACAGAGAAAGUUGUGAUGAACGCCCAAGAACUAGCUGCUGCUCUGGAUGGGACUACAAGAGUCCCAAUUUGGGACGCCGGUCAUAUGGCUGACCAGGCCGCUUCCUUAUUUAGAAGGAAGGUGUAAAAACAGGCCACUUGUCACCGGAGAGCAAUGGCACUCACGCUACCAUCUGACACUAUUCCCCCGUUGCCUUUUGGAGGAAGUUUAUACAGGUGUGCAGCUGGGUUGAGAUCUAGUAGCUGUGAAGGCCAGAGCAUAUAAUUUACAUUAUUUCAGCAUUAUUUCAGUCAAAUCAUACAGUGAACCCGCAUGGCCUGUGGAUGGGGGCGGAGUCGUCCUGGAAGAGACCACACCCAUCAGGAGAGAAAUGUUUCAUCAUACACGUAGGAUGAAGGGUCGUGCGGAGCCUGGAACCUAUCACAGGGAACUUGGGGCACACCCUGGACGGGGCACAAUCGCACACACAUUCUGCCAAUCGUCCUACAACGCAUGUCUUUGGAAUUGGGGAGGAAACCGGAGCACCCAGAGGAAUCCCCAAUAUCAGAGGUAAGAGGCAAAUUUGCUAACCACUAAGCCAUAGUGCCCCCCCUAUAGCGUAUCCAUAGUGAAAACAAACAAACAAAAAACCUACAAACAAACAAACAAAUGAUAUAUAACCCAAUGUUUUCAUGUCACCUUUAUCUCUGACUGGCUUUACUGAUGAAAUAUGAAUGAUCUGCAAUGGCUUAAAAAUGAUAUAAAUAUAACACUGUAUGAUAAUAUACUACAUAUAUAGAAUAAUAGAAGAGAAAUGAUAAAUAAUACGGGUCAGUGUAUCUUAAUCCAGGCCCUCAGAGAGGAAGCACUUGUUUUAGUAAUAACUGAGCUGAUGAGAUGGUGAAAAUGUACAGUACCAGGGCAUUUAGCCCCAGGAUGGAGAAACACUGAUCUGGAAGACAACAACGAUAUGUCCAUUCUUAGACAAGGGGGA
ensembl:lncRNA